rnacentral:rRNA from 1 species
AGAGUUUGAUCCUGGCUCAGGACGAACGCUGGCGGCGUGCUUAACACAUGCAAGUCGAACGGGGUGUGCCGGGUAGUAAUACCUUGUACAUCUAGUGGCGAACGGGUGCGUAACACGUGAGUAACCUACCCCGAAGUCUGGAAUAACACCGGGAAACCGAUGCUAAUACCAGAUGCCCUCCUCUGAUCGCAUGAUCGGUUGAGGAAAGUUUUUCGCUUCGGGAGGGGCUCGCGGCCUAUCAGCUUGUUGGUGAGGUAACGGCUCACCAAGGCUUCGACGGGUAGCUGGUCUGAGAGGACGAUCAGCCACACUGGGACUGAGACACGGCCCAGACUCCUACGGGAGGCGAC